GACGAACGCUGGCGGCGUGCUUAACACAUGCAAGUCGAACGGGCCUGUCCCUGGUUUUUGCUGGGGUGGGUUAGUGGCGAACGGGUGAGUAACACGUGAGUAACCUGCCCCUCACUUCUGGAUAACCGCUUGAAAGGGUGGCUAAUACGGGGUGUUCUGGCUGUGCCGCAUGGUGUGGUUGGGAAAGAUUCACUGCUUUGUGGUGUUUUGGUGGGGGAUGGGCUCGCGGCCUAUCAGCUUGUUGGUGGGGUGAUGGCCUGCCAAGGCUUUGACGGGUAGCCGGCCUGAGAGGGUGGGCGGUCACACUGGGACUGAGACACGGCCCAGACUCCUCGGGAGGCAGCAGUGGGGGAUAUUGCACAAUGGGCGGAAGCCUGAUGCAGCGACGUCGCGUGAGGGAUGGAGGCCUUCGGGUUGUGAACCUCUUUCGCCGGUGAAGAAGGUC
rnacentral:rRNA from 1 species